rnacentral:rRNA from 1 species
UACAGAGGUCCCAAGCGUUGUUCGGAUUCACUGGGCGUAAAGGGUGCGUAGGCGGCAGUGCAAGUCAGGUGUGAAAUCCCGGGGCUCAACCCCGGAACUGCACUUGAUACUGCUCUGCUAGAGUACUGGAGAGGAGACUGGAAUUUACGGUGUAGCAGUGAAAUGCGUAGAUAUCGUAAGGAAGACCAGUGGCGAAGGCGAGUCUCUGGACAGUUACUGACGCUGAGGCACGAAGGCCAGGGGAGCAAACGGG